rnacentral:rRNA from 1 species
GACGAACGCUGGCGGCGUGCUUAACACAUGCAAGUCGAACGGAAAGGCCCUGCUUUUGUGGGGUGCUCGAGUGGCGAACGGGUGAGUAACACGUGAGUAACCUGCCCUUGACUUUGGGAUAACUUCAGGAAACUGGGGCUAAUACCGGAUAGGAGCUCCUGCUGCAUGGUGGGGGUUGGAAAGUUUCGGCGGUUGGGGAUGGACUCGCGGCUUAUCAGCUUGUUGGUGGGGUAGUGGCUUACCAAGGCUUUGACGGGUAGCCGGCCUGAGAGGGUGACCGGCCACAUUGGGACUGAGAUACGGCCCAGACUCCUACGGGAGGCAGCAGUGGGGAAUAUUGCACAAUGGGCGGAAGCCUGAUGCAGCAACGCCGCGUGCGGGAUGACGGCCUUCGGGUUGUAAACCGCUUUCGCCUGUGACGAAGCGUGAGUGACGGUAAUGGGUAAAGAAGCACCGGCUAACUACGUGCCAGCAGCCGCGGUGAUAUGUAGGGUGCGAGCGUUGUCCGGAUUUAUUGGGCGUAAAGGGCUCGUAGGUGGUUGAUCGCGUCGGAAGUGUAAUCUUGGGGCUUAACCCUGAGCGUGCUUUCGAUACGGGUUGACUUGAGGAAGGUAGGGGAGAAUGGAAUUCCUGGUGGAGCGGUGGAAUGCGCAGAUAUCAGGAGGAACACCAGUGGCGAAGGCGGUUCUCUGGGCCUUUCCUGACGCUGAGGAGCGAAAGCGUGGGGAGCGAACAGGCUUAGAUACCCUGGUAGUCCACGCUGUAAACGGUGGGUACUAGGUGUGGGGUCCAUUCCACGGGUUCCGUGCCGUAGCUAACGCUUUAAGUACCCCGCCUGGGGAGUACGGCCGCAAGGCUAAAACUCAAAGGAAUUGACGGGGCCCCGCACAAGCGGCGGAGCAUGCGGAUUAAUUCGAUGCAACGCGUAGAACCUUACCUGGGUUUGACAUGGAUCGGGAGCGCUCAGAGAUGGGUGUGCCUCUUUUGGGGUCGGUUCACAGGUGGUGCAUGGCUGUCGUCAGCUCGUGUCGUGAGAUGUUGGGUUAAGUCCCGCAACGAGCGCAACCCUUGUUCACUGUUGCCAGCACGUUAUGGUGGGGACUCAGUGGAGACCGCCGGGGUCAACUCGGAGGAAGGUGGGGAUGACGUCAAGUCAUCAUGCCCCUUAUGUCCAGGGCUUCACGCAUGCUACAAUGGCUGGUACAGAGAGUGGCGAGCCUGUGAGGGUGAGCGAAUCUCGGAAAGCCGGUCUCAGUUCGGAUUGGGGUCUGCAACUCGACCUCAUGAAGUCGGAGUCGCUAGUAAUCGCAGAUCAGCAACGCUGCGGUGAAUACGUUCCCGGGGCU